UACGUAGGGGGCAAGCGUUGUCCGGAUUUAUUGGGCGUAAAGAGCGUGUAGGCGGCCAGGUAGGUCAGCUGUGAAAACUCGAGGCUCAACCUCGAGACGCCGGUUGAAACCAUCUGGCUAGAGUCCGGAAGAGGAGAGUGGAAUUCCUGGUGUAGCGGUGAAAUGCGCAGAUAUCGGGAGGAACACCUGUGGCGAAAGCGGCUCACUGGACCAUAACUGACGCUGGUGCACGAAAGCUGGGGGAGCAAACAGG
rnacentral:rRNA from 1 species